rnacentral:lncRNA from 1 species
GGAGUGUUGGCUAAUGCUCACUUUAUGCCUCUGCAAGUACCUCUGCAGCACUGUAUCAUUGAUGAUUCUCAACACUGCUGUUCUUUGUCUCAAGAUCUUCUGGGGUUCAGAACAGUGAAAUUUCUGGUCAGCUCCAAGGUGAGAUGCUUCCUUUCGGUUCCAAGAGGAUGGUGGUUCAGAAUACUUGGAGGUGCUUUGAAGUUCCCUGAGCAAUCUUUAAAUAACCUGAAAGUUUAUUUCAACCAUGAGUCUCAGUGUGUGGGAAAACAGUAUUGCUCAGGACCAGUGUAGAAAGCUUACAGUUAAAUCUUUUUGCUAAGAUAAGUCUUUGGUCACCAAAAGAUUCUUGUCAUCUUUGAAAAACUACUUAUGAACUUUGAGAACCAAAUUUAUAAUAUAUUGUUUACCUAGAAUGAGGACCUAUGUCUUUCAGCAAUCCCUGAGAAAUUUUCCCUUUAUUGUGGAAAGUAUUUCAUGAUUUAAUGCAGACCUCUUUGCUGUCUUACUGGUUUGUUUUUGUAGUAUUUAAUUUUCUUAUUAAUAUAUUGAUUUUAAAGGUCAAAAUUAUAUUAUUUUUGGAUAAGGUCAUGACAAAUAACAAAAGGACUUGGUGCAAUAUGACUUUUAAGAUGAACUCUAAAUUUUAAAACAGUUUUUUUCUGAGCAUAAAAUAGGUAGCAUUUCAGUAUUGAUUUAAUAAAAGAAUGCUUAUACUAAACAUUGUCAUUUUAUAUUUACAUUAAAAUUAUAAGAAAAAUUAAAAUUGAGAAAAAAUGUCACAUGUAGUCCUUACAUGCCAUUAAAAAUGCAUAUACUAUUAUGUCUUUUCUUCUAGGCUUUUAAAUCAUACCUUGAAUUUCAUCAGUGUAAGCUGUCACAUCCACAAAAUAUUUAAAAUAUUUUCAUUAAUAGUCUUAUCUUUUUUCCAUAUAUACUAGUUCUCAUUCCUACUAAGUAAAUUUGCUUUGCCCCUUUCAGACUUCCAAACUCUGAAUUCCUUACUAUUUAUGAGUUUUUCCUCAGCCUCUCAUUUCCAUAUCCUCACUGAUUCUUCAUGGUUAUGUUCAAUUUUCCUUUAUGUACUCGAUUUUGUAUAACAGCCAACAUGAUCAGUAGAUAUUUAUUGAACACCUAUAAUAUGCUGAGAACUCUACUUAUGUCAUGUGACAUUUUUCUCAAUUUUAAUUUUUCUUAUAAUUUUAAUGUAAAUAUAAAAAUGACAGUGUUUAGUAUAAAUAUUCUUUUAUAAAUAAAACUAUAGAUCAGACAAAGUCCCUGCAUUCAGGAAUCUUUUUUUAAUUGGUUCAUUAUAAUUUUACAUAAUGAUUAGAUACAUUAUGCCAUAUUUGUCCAGAUACAUAAUUUGAUCGAUCUCCUACCGAUUUAUCUUCCCUUUCCUUCCCUUACUCUUUCCCACUGAUCUCUUUCCUCUAUCGAUCUAUCAUCUAUUAUUAUUAUUAUUAUAUCAUUAUUUUUAAAAAUUAGAACAUUGUAAUUAUAUGUAAAAGCAAGAUUCUUUGUUGUAAAUUCAUGCAUGAAUGUAGCAUAAUUUGGUAGUUUGUGCUCCCUCAUACUUUCUCUCUCUCAAUCCCCUUCUUCCACUCUGUUUGUCUCCUUUCUAUUUUUGUGAUAUCCCGUGGUAUUCAUUCUCUUCCUCCCCCCCAUUCCCCACAUGCCCCAGCUUUCACAUAUGGGAAAAAAUUUUGACCCUUGACUUUAUGAGUCUGGCUUAUUUCAUUUAGCAUGAUGUUCUCCAAUUUCAUCCAUUCAACAGAAAAUGAUAUAAUAAUUUUAUUCUCCUUCAUGGCUGAGUAAAACUCCAUUGUGUAUGUAUACCAUAUUUUCUUUAUCCAUUUGUCUGAUGACACCUAGCCUGGUUCCAUAACUUGACUAUUCUGAAAUCCACUACUGUAAACAUUGGUAUGCAUGUUUCACUUUAGUAUACUUGUUUUAAUUCUUUUGGAUAAAUACAAAGGAGUGGGAUAAGAGGUCACAUGAUAUUUCCAUUCCUAGUCUUUGAGGAAUCUCCAUACUGCUUUCCAAAGUGGUUGUGCUAAUUUGCAAUUCCAUCAGCAACAUAUAAGUUUAUCUUUUUCCUCAUAUCCUUACAAGCAAACAUUGUUACUUUUAUUCUUAAUGAUUACCAUUCUAAGUGGGUUGAAAUGAAAUUUCAGUAUAGUUUUGCUUUGCAUUUUCCUGAUUGUUAAGGAUGUUGAACAUUUUUAAAAUAUUUUUGUUGGCCAUUUGUAUUUCUUCUUUUGAGAUAUAUAAACUCUAAAUAGACCAAUAUCAAGCAAUAAGAUUUGAUCGAGCAGAAGGGUGAGAGUGGAAGGGAGGGGGCAGGGGGUUAGAAAUGUUGGUGGAAUGUGAUGAACAUCAUUAUCCAAAGUAUAUGUAUAAAGACACAAAUUGGUAUGAAUAUACUUUGUAUACAACCAGAGAUAUGAAAAUUGUGCUUUAUAUGUUUAAUAUGAAUUAUUAUGCAUUCUGCUGUC